CCUACGGGAGGCAGCAGUGGGGAAUAUUGCACAAUGGGCGGAAGCCUGAUGCAGCGACGCCGCGUGAGGGAUGAAGGCCUUCGGGUUGUAAACCUCUUUCAGCAGGGACGAAGCGUGAGUGACGGUACCUGCAGAAGAAGCACCGGCUAACUACGUGCCAGCAGCCGCGGUAAUACGUAGGGUGCGAGCGUUGUCCGGAAUUACUGGGCGUAAAGAGUUCGUAGGCGGUUUGUCGCGUCGUUUGUGAAAACCCGGGGCUCAACUUCGGGCUUGCAGGCGAUACGGGCAGACUUGAGUGUUUCAGGGGAGACUGGAAUUCCUGGUGUAGCGGUGAAAUGCGCAGAUAUCAGGAGGAACACCGGUGGCGAAGGCGGGUCUCUGGGAAACAACUGACGCUGAGGAACGAAAGCGUGGGUAGCAAACAGGAUUAGAUACCCUGGUAGUCCACGCCGUAAACGGUGGCGCUAGGUGUGGGUUCCUUCCACGGGAUCUGUGCCGUAGCUAACGCAUUAAGCGCCCGCUCGGAGUACGCGCGAGACAACUACAAGAAGUAGACGCGNGAGACGNGCGAGACGACGACGAGGAGAG
rnacentral:rRNA from 1 species